rnacentral:lncRNA from 1 species
AUGAGAGGGGCCAUCUCCGGUGUGCAGACGGGAAGAUUUAACACUGUUGUUCCACAGCAUGGGCACGGAACAAGCCCCCCGCACAGGCUGCUGCUCGCGCUCCCAGAGCUGCUCAGGGCUGAGCACUGGGUGCUGAGCUCCAGCCCAGCUCCCACAGCCCUCACUAAUUGCAGCACUGCCAGCCUGCUCUGCUGCUGCUCGUCCCGGCCACGGGAAGGAGGAAAACUCCUGUUCCUUCCCUGCCCUGCAGCCUGCUCCCCUCGGCAGCACGAGGGGCAUGAAGCAGCUGCCCCCUCAUCGGGGAGCAAAGCCAGCACCGGGGUGCACUCACCCCACACGGACCAUCCCCGCUGCCCCAGCCCAGUCUUUGCAGCCCCACCAGCUCCAGCCAGGGGAUGGUGCUUCAGCUGGGGACACCAAGGCGCAAAGGGACAGGGGAAGAGCAGCACGGCCAGUGCAGCCCCCGUGUGUCCGGUGCCCAGCCGCAGGAGCUGCCCGCGUCCCCCUCUGCCUAGCAGCCGAGCUGCGCUCUCCCGGCAGGGAAGGAAAUCAGGUAAGCCAUGUCUACGAGCACAUAUGGAGGGGCUGGGACGCUGCCCAAGCUUCAGCUCAAAAAAAAAGUGCACAUCUCAUGGUAUAAAUAUUUUGGUUUGCCUCCUCCUCUCCAGCCCACAAGCUCCAGCACAGAAACCACAACAGCAGCCCUCAGCGCAGCCGUCUUGGCACUCGCUUCCCUCCGAUCCCCACAGCCACCAACGUCUGCCGCAACAAAAGCCUGUGCAGUCUCACCUGGGUGCGUGGUAUCACCCCAACCCCCUGAGUGACCCCCUGCUGCAGAGAUGCUCCUGGCAGCAUGGAUGGCUGGGGGGCACCUUCUGGCCCCAGGAAGGUGCAGCUCACGGAGCUGUUUGGCUCUUUUCAUUCCCUCCUGAGCAGAAAAGAGCUGAGCCCACUCCCUUUCCUGUUAGGACGGGAGCUGUCUUCGUUAACAAUCAGAGCAUCUGCAGCUGUGUCCUGCCAUGGCUGAAUGUGAUGCCACUUCCCAGCGAUUUGCUCCUCGGUGGCAGCCACAAAAGUUUCUCUAAAGGCUCAGGGAGGUGGGAUAGGAAUCUGGUGGUUUGGGGAUACAUUAAUUUGAUUCCGAUGGGAAGGAGAGGACUUCCCUCAGGGGCUUUCUCCACUGAUUCCUCGUGGAACAAGAGAAAGAGAAGGACCGCGUCUAAUGAAAAAUAUAUAUUAAAAGCAAUUUUUCACCAGCUUAAUGGUUCUUUCUUCUUGAGCCAGCAGGGGAGUGAGGUGGGCUUUGUUGUGAAUGCGCCCAGGCAGUGCCUCCCCCUGUGUAUACCCCAAAGCCACACACCCAGUGCAAAACCUGAGCUGGGGCCCUGCACUUACCUGGGCAAACAUUUGUUUUGUGCUCUAAUAGCAAGGCAGAUGCGCUAUUCCCCUGUGUAA